rnacentral:lncRNA from 1 species
AUGAGAAACCUUAAGAAGCAUGCUUUGAAAAACUACAGAAGGCUCCUUGGAUCUGCCACACAUUUUUUGGGGGGAUGCUCUUCUCUUUGUGGGUUUUUCAUCUUUUUUUUUUUGUUUUUGUUUUUUUUUUUUUUUUUUUUUUUUUGGAACUAUGAAGAAUUAAAAAAGAGCUCAGACAUUUUUCUUUUUUUAACUGGUGAAGAGAAAAAACUGAAAAGAAAUAUACCUUUUUUGUUCCAUUUGUUUGCACUGUGUGCUGACUGAACAUUAGUUGCACUAACUGCUGGUUUUUAAAAAAUGUUUUCUGGGGAAAGGGGACAAGGAAGGAGGAAAAAGAAGAGAAGAAGAGAAACCCUAAAAAGAGAAGACUCUUAUUCUUGAUGAACACACAAGCUUGUCUACAUCUUCAGAAUUCUUCAACAGCUGACUUUCGAGUGCAUUUCAACUUCUCCCUGAUUAUCCAUCCGUUUUUAAGCCCGAAGAGCUUAUUACUUAUUUGUGCGAAGUGCCUUAUGCUAUGAGACCAUUCAGAAUAUCAUCUUUUAGACACAGCCCAAGGAAUCAACAAAAUAAUUUUUUUUCUUUUUAAAAUUUUUGUCUGUUUAUUUUGGUUUCAAGUUGAAGUGUCUCUCUUCCCAUUCUACCCAGUUCUACCCAGUACUCGAGCCCAGGGCUGGAAGAUGAAACUUACUAGUAACGUUAAACACCAUUAUCUUUUUCUUUACGUGGAGGAGUUGAUAUGCAACUGCAGUUCAUCCGCACUGUAAAUACAUGUAUUUAAAAAACAAUCUGGGCUGAGUAGAUACAACACCUUCGCUCCCAAAGGAAAGAGCAGUCUAUCAUUGCAGGAGCCAUAUGACAAGCCUUUGUGCUCUAUCGCAGAACACUAAAGACUGGUUUACAUACGCCUCCAUUAGCAGUAUGGCACUUGAUGUGUAGACAUGUCAGAGCCUUGACCCUCUUUCCUCUGUGGCAAAGUGUAUCCCAUAGAAAAUUGGGUGUGUAUACUUGUAUAAACUUUGUAAAUAAGUUUUUUUCUGGUUCAUAUAUAUAUAUAUAUAUUAUAUAUUAUAUAUAUAUAUUAUUUUUUUUUUUGGAUGAAGGUUGCUGGGAUUAAGGGGAUUAGAGUGAUUAUGGGAGCAGCUAAAGAUGAGAGGGGCUCAGUUUCCGCAACACUAAUUCUAGAAAGUACUUUGGCCUGUUACUGUAGAGACAGACCUCUGUGGGAUCCAUGUGUAGAAAAAGGGACCAAAAGUCUGGGAUG